CCGGUCGCAUAGGAAAGCAUUUACAAUGCUUUCCUAUGGACGCUGGCGUGCUCUCACUGUUAAAAUCACAGUGAGAAGCACGCAAGCGCCUCUAGUGGCUGUCAAUGAGACAGCCACUAGAGGAAAUAGGGGAAGGCUUAACCCAUUCAUAAACAUAGCAGUUUCUCUGAAACUGCUAUGUUUAUGAAAAAAUGGGUUAACC